UUUGAAACUUGUCCUCUCUUCCAAAGGAAGAUCUGGCACUGUGAACCUGCUAACUCCAGCAGGCAUCCAACACGUGCUUUGGAGAAGGAUAUGGAAAAUACAUCCUUUGGGAAGUAUUCUGGCCAGCUGAGCUCUCCAAGGGGUGAGGGUGAUUUAUGCCAGCUGAAAUCCUGGGGCUCCACAUCCUCCUGCACGCACAGGCACCUCUGGCUGGAUUUUGUUGAGUUUUCUUCCCUCACUUAUUCCCAGCAAAGGCAGUGGGAGCAGCUUGGAUGGUGAUUUUUCAGCCA